rnacentral:rRNA from 1 species
AUUGAACGCUGGCGGCAGGCCUAACACAUGCAAGUCGAGCGGAUGAAGGGAGCUUGCUCCUGGAUUCAGCGGCGGACGGGUGAGUAAUGCCUAGGAAUCUGCCUGGUAGUGGGGGAUAACGUCCGGAAACGGGCGCUAAUACCGCAUACGUCCUGAGGGAGAAAGUGGGGGAUCUUCGGACCUUACGCUAUCAGAUGAGCCUAGGUCGGAUUAGCUAGUUGGUGGGGUAAAGGCCUACCAAGGCGACGAUCCGUAACUGGUCUGGGGGGAUGAUGAGUCACUGUGAAAGUGAGACACGGUCCAGAGUCCGAGGGAAGGCAGAGGGGGGGAAUGUUGGCAAAAGGGGGAAAGCCUGAACAAGCCGAGGCGGGUGGGUGAAGAAAGGCUUCGGGUUGUAAAACACUUUUAGUUGGGAGAAAGGGAAGUAAGUUAAAACCUGGGUGUUUGAAGGUAACCAACAAAGAAGGCACCGCCAACUUUGGU